rnacentral:rRNA from 1 species
AACGAACGCUGGCGGCACGUUUUAAGCAUGCAAGUCGAAUGGCAGUGGGGGCAACCCCAUGAGAAUGGCGAACGGGUGAGUAACACGUAGGUGAUCUGCCUGACGGAUGGGGAUAGCUUGUGGAAACACAGGGUAAUACCGAAUGAGCUGACGAGACUUUGGUUUUGUUAGUAAAGGUGCUACGGCACCGCCGACAGAGGAGCCUGCGGCUGAUUAGCUAGUUGGUGGGGUAAAGGCCUACCAAGGCGACGAUCAGUAGCCGGCCUGAGAGGGUGUACGGCCACACUGGAACUGAGACACGGUCCAGGCUCCUACGGGAGGCAGCAGCUAAGAAUCUUCCGCAAUGGGCGAAAGCCUGACGGAGCGAUGCCGCGUGAUCGAUGAAGGUCGAGAGAUUGUAAAGAUCUUUUCUAAAUGAGGAAUAAGUCUGGGAGGGAAUGCCUGGAUGAUGACGUUAGUGUAGGAAUAAGCCCCGGCUAAUUACGUGCCAGCCGCCGCGGUAA